UACGUAGGGUGCGAGCGUUGUCCGGAAUUAUUGGGCGUAAAGAGCUCGUAGGUGGUUCGUCGCGUCGAAUGUGAAAACCCGGGGCUCAACUCCGGGCCUGCAUUCGAUACGGGCGGACUAGAGUUCGGUAGGGGAGACUGGAAUUCCUGGUGUAGCGGUGAAAUGCGCAGAUAUCAGGAGGAACACCGGUGGCGAAGGCGGGUCUCUGGGCCGAUACUGACGCUGAGGAGCGAAAGCGUGGGGAGCGAACAGG
rnacentral:rRNA from 1 species